rnacentral:lncRNA from 1 species
AUGGACGGCCCUGUGGCCGCGGGCCUCCAGCCCAGACUGUCGGGGCUCGUGGCCGGGUGUGUGUCCCCCCUGCCAGACUGCAGGACAGACAGCCAGGGAACCCAAGACCGCCGCCCACAGACAGUGGAGAAGGGAUCCAAGACGGAGGGGGCAGGGGAAGGGCCGGCCCACCACAGCCCACCAACCCCUUCGCCCUCGCGAUGCUUGUCACGCUGUCACCCUGGCGGCCUCCUGGAGGAAGCAGGGCCACCCUGUACCCUGAGACCCCACCAGCGCUGCGGCCUGGACCCUCCUAGACCGGCUGUCGCCACACAGGGGCUCCAGGACGGCUCGCUCACCUGCCGCAGGCCUGUGGCGCCCCCCCUCGUCCGCACCGUCCGUGCUCCCUGUGAGCUGGGCUCCCCCACCCCCCGCAGCCCCGCGCUCAAGCCGCGGUUCUCCCGGCCUCCGCCCCGCCAGCCCCGCUCCACUUCUCGCGAGGCGGCAAAGCGGGCUCCUGAAAACGUGAACUGCCUCGCUCAGUGUGUUUGCGGGACGUACCGCCCAGCACGCUCUGCACGGUCCCGGCGCCGGGCAGACAGCGUUAGGCAAAGGGGAACCCCGGGGAACCCCGAGCCCGCCCCGGCGCCGCGCCCUCGAGGCCAGGCCAUCGACGGCGGGCCUGUCAGGCGGCCACCGGGGCCUCAGGGGCAGCAACGCCGCCCCGGGCUGGAGCCACACGCGACUCCCAGCGACGCGGAGCAGAAGCCGGCAGGACAACACAGGACUUUGAUGUUAGUAAGAGAUGUGGAUGUACCAAGGAACACAAUGCAACAACUUCAACUUCUUGGGGAAGGAGGGCUUAAAUGCUGGGGGCCAGCUCUUGCACCCUCCCACAGCCACGAAAGCACAGGCCUCGGCUGGCCUGCUGGCCCAGGAUUUCUCAACAAUCUGAGAAAGGUCAACUGUUGCAGAUCUUCAGGGUACAUCACAGACACCGCUGCCAGCCCAGCUCCCACACUACGGAGCGCUCACUCAGAAACCCCGGCGGCGGCGGCCCCACGUGACAGAGCGGCUCUGGAGCCCACUCGCGCCCACCCAGGGGCCGGUCUCCGCCAACUCUAA